UACAGAGGUCUCAAGCGUUGUUCGGAUUCAUUGGGCGUAAAGGGUGCGUAGGCGGCGUGGUAAGUCGGAUGUGAAAUCUCGGAGCUUAACUCCGAAACUGCAUUCGAUACUGCCGUGCUUGAGGACUGGAGAGGAGACUGGAAUUUACGGUGUAGCGGUGAAAUGCGUAGAUAUCGUAAGGAAGACCAGUGGCGAAGGCGGGUCUCUGGACAGUUCCUGACGCUGAGGCACGGAAAGCGUGGGGG
rnacentral:rRNA from 1 species